rnacentral:lncRNA from 10 species
GCAGCUUUUGUCUCCCAGGUGCUAGGAGGAUGUGUGCUCAUCAUUCUUCCAUUCCAGGGGCCUUUGUUCUACGUUCUAAGGGGCUUUGUUCUCAGCCUUCUAUGAUGCUCUAUUCUCAACGUUCUCUGGUCCUAGGAGUCUGAGCCUGACAUUCGUUUCCAAGGCUUCCUGCUGUCUCUCCAGGCUCCGCAAGCAGGGCUGGGGCACCCUCAGGUAUGUCUCUCUACUGGCAGGGCAGUCCUUGGCUGUCUCAGUCACCACUGUGUCCCCAGCAUCACCCAGCUCAGUGACACAAAGGAAUGAGUGAAUAUAUACUUCUCUAUUUCAUAGAUAGAGAAGUCAUCACAUCAACAUAAAAUAAAAUACUGAAUGUUACGUAUC